AAAUAAGUUUAAGGAAAGAUGCUGUGCCUCCAUGUGCGCAUAGGCCAGAUUUAUGUUUGACUUUACACAAACAUCUCAGUGCUGUAAAGAGCAGUAUUGCCGUCA